AAAUUAUUAUUUCGUUACUAGAAGCCAGGCAUCCAAGCGCGCAAAAACGGCGCUGAUUACAUGAUUACUCAACUAUAUUAGUCCUGCGAGGAAAUUCACGUAGCUCUACUGAGGUCGGAAGAACAUUGUGUUGUGUCCGCAAUUCUCCGUAUACACUGAACUUUCACUUUUCAGAAUGAAAGCAGUAUUUUUAAACUUAUGAUAAUUGUGAAGAUACAAGUGUCUGACGCAAGCGGCUUUUCUCAAGAGGUUUGACGUAGCUGAUCAACGUCUGAUUGCAUGUGACCGUACUUAAUAUUGGUGGGCAAACUCUUCAAUAGCUAGGUCAAAUCGGUUUGCCAGAUAAAGAUAACAGCCGAUCAGGGGCAUCAUGGUCUCCUUCUUUAUAUUACUUCUGCUUCCUGCUAUGUGUCAUGCGGGUGCCUCAAAAGGUUGCAAGGAUGUGAAAGGUGCGUGGCACCCUGAUGGGGCACCUUGUUUGGCAGGGAUACUAGAAAAUCCAGUUGGCGAAUAUAAAUGUGCCGUUGGGCAAUGCUAUGAUGGUGGCUGUAAAAUAGUGAAAAUU